UACGUAGGCAGCAAGCGUUGUUCGGAAUUACUGGGCGUAAAGAGUGUGUAGGCGGUGCUCUAAGUUCGGUGUGAAAUCUCCCGGCUUAACUGGGAGGGUGCGCCGGAAACUGGAGUGCUCGAGCGUGGGAGAGGAAAGCGGAAUUCCUGGUGUAGCGGUGAAUUGCGUAGAUAUCAGGAGGAACACCUGCGGUGUAGACGGCUUUCUGGACCAUUGCUGACGCUGAGACACGAGAGCGUGGGUAGCAAACAGG
rnacentral:rRNA from 1 species